rnacentral:lncRNA from 1 species
UCAACUUAACAAUGAUUUACAGUGAUUUAAUACAUAUAUACGAUCUGUAAUAAGUAAAAGCUUCCAAAUGCUCUCUGUUAACAGGUGAAGAGAUCUGACCAAGAAAGGAGUUCUGCUCAUCAGACAAAGACCUGACAGCUUUUGCGGUGAAAUAAUCUGCUCUGUUCAGAAACCAGAGGAAAAACCCUCACAGCUGGUUGAGCUUUCCAGAACUCUUGGGGCUGAUCCAGAGCUCCCCUCUGCUGCGGCGAAGGGUGGUGAGGACGUGCGGCUGGAGAAGGAACUUCUUGUCUGGAGGGUCUCAGUUACAACACUUCUUUAAACCUGAUGGCCCCCAUUUUCCACGUGCCAAGCUCCCAGAAGGAGAAUAUAUAUAUAUAAAAGGUGGAGUGAGAGAAGGGGCGGACUCAUUGCCAGGAUGUAUUUAUGAUUUAGCAGAGAAGUGAGUUUUGGUAGCGCGUGCUCAACAACAACCGUGAGACUUUACGUGCCGAUAAAAAUCACUGGAGACAGCGAUGGACACUGAAGCCGGAAAUUAUCACGGUAAUUUGGCUGCCUGCCACUCUUUUACUGUCUUUUGCUAAUUUAUGUAGGGUAUUGCGUGAUGGUUGUUCGGAAAACAGACAGCUUCAUGAAUGG